rnacentral:rRNA from 1 species
CACGUGAGAAUCUGCCUUCAGGACGGGGACAACGACUGGAAACGGUCGCUAAUACCCGAUAUGCCUGCAAGUGAAACGGAGCAAUCCGCCUGAAGAUGAGCUCGCGUCCGAUUAGCUAGUUGGAGUGGUAACGGCACCCCAAGGCAACGAUCGGUAGCUGGUUUGAGAGAAUGACCAGCCACACUGGAACUGAGACACGGUCCAGACUCCUACGGGAGGCAGCAGUGAGGAAUUUUCCGCAAUGGGCGAAAGCCUGACGGAGUCAUACCGCGUGGGGGACGACGCUCUAGGGAGUGUAAACCUCUUUUAUCAAGGAAGAACAUUGACGGUACUUGAUGAAUCAGCCUCGGCUAACUCCGUGCCAGCAGCCGCGGUAAGACGGAGGAGGCAAGCGUUAUCCGGAAUUAUUGGGCGUAAAGCGUCCGCAGGUGGUUUGAGCAGUCUGUUGUGAAAGCGUGGAGCUUAACUCCAUAGACGCAAUGGAAACUCUCAAACUCGAGGACAGUAGGGGCAGAGGGAAUUCCCAGAGUAGCGGUGAAAUGCGUAGAUGCUGGGAAGAACACCAACGGCGAAGGCACUC